GUUUUCAAAAAACUCCUUCCAGAAUCUGAGUCCCCUAUCAGGCUGAGGAUCACUAUCUUUCUCAGUUUGUCCAGAAGAAUGACCUUCCCACCUUCCAAUUAUUCCAUAGAACUUGGAGAGCCUAACCUGGAUACCAUUGGAAUGCUGCCACCAGUUCAGAGAAUGCCCUCAUACAUUCUUUCCUUGUUCACUGUCAAAGAUGACACAGAAUGCAUGUAUUCAUCCUACCCCUAUUCUGCAUUGUCUUUUGUUAUCUUAAGUAGCUGUUGCACAGCAUCGGUUUGUUUGUCAUUCCUAUUGGCCAUAGGAGAUCAGAACAAUAGAUCUUCUUAGCAGAACGUCCAUCAGAGCAUACCUAGAGUUUAUACACGAUUGCCUCUCCCAGCCAGGUAUGGAUCAUCAUCUUCGUGGACAACCAUUCUAUGAUAGCACGAAGUUUAGAGUCCAAAUCAACAGUACCAUCCUCCUUUAAACUUACCUGAAUCCCACCCUUCUCAUUCAUAUUUGUGACAGUUUCCCGGAUCUUCUGUAAGAAUAUCAAUAGGCUGAUGCAUCCCCAAAGCAAAUAUUUGGUUACCUGGAAACCACAAACCUUGAUGAGGCCACUGCAUUGUCAGAGUGUUUCUGAGAUUUAUGCACACAGUUCAAGAACCCUGAAGACCUCGAUGCAUGCUUGAAAUGAUCCAGAAAGCUGAGUGCCAUCACUCUCUGAAACUUGAUGGAACUGGCAAUAAAGUUCAGGAAUCUACCAGACUGUUCGCCAGAAGGGAUGAUGGAACAUUUUCAUAAACAGUGCUAGUGAUAGCAUGAUCUAUUUGCUGGGAGUUAAUGGAAACAGGGACCAUUCUCUUUCUUCUGAGAGGAUCUACAAGCUGAAGGAUAAUGGCUCAAGAAAGAAAGGACCCUUGAGCAGAUCUUGAAGAUUCCACUGGCUCCCUUAUAUGGUUCAGUCAACCUGCCAGUCUCAAUCUUCUCUUCCUGAUUCUAAAACAGGAGCUCAACUCACUCAAUUGGUGCGGCAACUAUCUUGGGGACCUGGCAGAAACUUCUCUUAUGAAGAAAUCAAUCAUAAAACUGAUUGCAUAUUUCUCCGCAGGAGCUUGAGCAAAAGUGGGAGGCAAGUGGUACACGGGCCAGACCAUUGCUACUGCUAGCUGGCAACAAAAUGGUCUGCAAACUUCCAUUCACGUAAGCACCGCUCAGACUGUGUACGUACACUAGUAUUUGGUGAAUUCAGUUGAUACAUCUAUGUUCCACGUGCAUACUCUCUUGCCCGCUCAAACUGUCCACUAACUUCUCCUGCAAUUUUCUCCUUUAAGCUACCAACAAUUUUCAGAUAAGGACUGUAAAGUUACCUCCAGAAGUUACCCUUCAAAGUUCCCUUUAUCAACAUUAGGAACAAAUACAGUGCUCCGAACUGAUCCUGGAUGUUGGCCCAAAAAACUGGCCUUCAAAAGUAAGCAGUGAAUCAUCAAGCUUCUGCCUCUUUGGUUAGGGCUGCACUGGCUAUUUAUGCUGCAACAAAUAAACACUGGCAGAUCGAGAUUGUGCUUCUCUGUCUAAGUAGCACAAAUAGAGAGUACAGUGGCCAAAGCAAUUUCAUUAGGCUCACACAUUUCAUCCUGCAUUCUUUGGAAAUUUCUCAACCCUUCAUAAUAAUCUCCAUUCUGAGCAUAGCGAGAGAACAUAACAUUCUCUGUCCAAGAGGCCAACUGGAUGUCCCUUAUGGUAGAUUUCAGCACCAUUUUCUACUUCAUCAUUGUGUCAAGGAAUGGCCAGCACAGGGGAGUAAUGGUACAGUAGAUGGUGAAUGAGUGACACAAAAAAACGGAUGAAGCUGACAUGAUAUAUCUUUCGAAAUACUCUGUGGACCACACCUUAAGGGUUCUGUGAUAUUCUGAAGCAUAGUUACCUAGUUAUUGUAUCCAACCCUGACAUGAGAUACUAAUCCAGGCUGAAGUUGCAAAA